GACGAACGCUGGCGGCGUGCUUAACACAUGCAAGUCGAGCGGUAAGGCCCUUUCGGGGGUACACGAGCGGCGAACGGGUGAGUAACACGUGGGUGACCUGCCCUCAGCUCUGGGAUAAGCCUGGGAAACCGGGUCUAAUACUGGAUAUGACUCCAUGACGCAUGUUGUGGGGUGGAAAGCCUUGUGCGGCUGAGGAUGGGCCCGCGGCCUAUCAGCUUGUUGGUGGGGUGAGGCCUACCAAGGCGACGACGGGUAGCCGGCCUGAGAGGGCGACCGGCCACACUGGGACUGAGACACGGCCCAGACUCCUACGGGAGGCAGCAGUGGGGAAUCUUGCGCAACGGGCGAAAGACCUGACGCAGCGACGCCGCGUGAGGGAUGACGGCC
rnacentral:rRNA from 1 species